UAAUACGGAGGGUGCGAGCGUUGUUCGGAAUCAUUGGGCGUAAAGGGCGUGUAGGUGGUCUGCUAAGUCAUGUGUGAAAGCCCCCGGCUCAACCGGGGAAGUGCGCAUGAAACUGACAGGCUAGAGUACCGAAGAGGAAGGUGGAAUUCCAGGUGUAGCGGUGAAAUGCGUAGAUAUCUGGAGGAACACCGGUGGCGAAGGCGGCCUUCUGGUCGGAUACUGACGCUAAAACGCGAAAGCGUGGGGAGCAAACAGGAUUAGAUACCCUGGUAGUCCACGCUGUAAACGAUGGGCACUAGGUGUCCGGGGUAUUGACCCCCUGGGUGCCGCAGCUAACGCAUUAAGUGCCCCGCCUGGGGAGUACGGUCGCAAGAUUA
rnacentral:rRNA from 1 species